GGGGGGGGGGGCGAGCGUUGUUCGGAAUUACUGGGCGUAAAGGGCUCGUAGGCGGCCAGCUAAGUCGGACGUGAAAUACCUCGGGCUCAACCGAGGAACUGCGUCCGAUACUGAUUGGCUUGAAUCCAGGAGAGGGAUGCGGAAUUCCAGGUGUAGCGGUGAAAUGCGUAGAUAUCUGGAGGAACACCGGUGGCGAAGGCGGCAUCCUGGACCGGUAUUGACGCUGAGGAGCGAAAGCCAGGGGAGCAAACGGGAUUAGAUACCCCGGUAGUCCUGGCCCUAAACGAUGAAUGCUUGGUGUGGCGGGUAUCGAUCCCUGCCGUGCCGAAGCUAACGCAUUAAGCAUUCCGCCUGGGGAGUACGGUCGCAAGGCUA
rnacentral:rRNA from 1 species